CCCGGUAGCACAAAAGACAGCGCGUUGGACUUCUAAUCCAAAGAUCGUGGAUUCGAAUUUCACAAGGGGGA